rnacentral:rRNA from 1 species
GAUGAACGCUGGCGGCGUGCCUAAUACAUGCAAGUCGAGCGAACGGACGAGAAGCUUGCUUUUCUGAUGUUAGCGGCGGACGGGUGAGUAACACGUGGAUAACCUACCUAUAAGACUGGGAUAAAUUCGGGAAACCGGAGCUAAUACCGGAUAAUAUUUUGAACCGCAUGGUUCAAAAGUGAAAGACGGUCUUGCUGUCACUUAUAGAUGGAUCCGCGCUGCAUUAGCUAGUUGGUAAGGUAACGGCUUACCAAGGCAACGAUGCAUAGCCGACCUGAGAGGGUGAUCGGCCACACUGGAACUGAGACACGGUCCAGACUCCUACGGGAGGCAGCAGUAGGGAAUCUGCCGCAAUGGGCGAAAGCCUGACGGAGCAACGCCGCGUGAGUGAUGAAGGUCUUCGGAUCGUAAAACUCUGUUAUUAGGGAAGAACAUAUGUGUAAGUAACUGUGCACAUCUUGACGGUACCUAAUCAGAAAGCCACGGCUAACUACGUG